AUCAUCAUGGAGGAAGAACAGGUACCUGCUAUCGAGUGAAGAGGACAAUCGCACCACAAAAGCGCAGCUGCUACCUGCGGGAAUCUAUUGCGUCUUUGGCCGCCUACUCUCAUUCCCUUUUCUUGCCUGAAUACAUUGUGUCACUGGCCGUGAGUCAAUUCUAAAGAGUAGAAGAGGAACGAGGCAAAACCAUCAAAAUGAAACAUUUUUUUGAGGGUGGUGACACAGUUCUUUGUGUUCCUGCACUGUAAAUGUCUGUGGCGAGGCCUAAAGUUUGUGAUCAGGAAGGUCACGGGGUGGUGUGAACUGCAGCGGAUUUGCUACAACAUCAAGCCAGGGGCCCGCAGG